UCAUAGAUUUCACCUGUUUCCUUCGCGCAGAGACCAAAAUGUCCGUUUCUAAAGGAUCCUGUAGAUGAGGACGCUGUAUUAAUUCACACGGCAUUGAAUUUACGCCGCGAGAGGAUUUUAACGCCACGAGUUAAUUUUCUGUCAUAUCGCCGUGCAUAUUUAUUUGAGCGGUAACGUUUUUCUCGAGACUCCAUACAUAUAUUAAUAAUCUUAUUCACCCAUAUGUCAAACACAUCACCCAUCGUGGCCGUGCUUUUACAUCUGAACAGAUUCGUGUUGCGUUACGUUUUUUUUUUUGCAAACGGUAGUUUUCUUUAUAACUUUGGAGAUGCUGAGCACAUUAGUGAAGCCACUGUAUGUAGAAAAGUUCGACCUCAAGCGCUUUCCUUGACACAAACUCCUUAAAGCCAUUAAAGAGGAGUUUCACAGGAUUGCAGGAGAGAUUGACGGCUUUCUGCUGGAGAUAGGGGUUAAUGGCAGCCCACACUACUGACCCCUCACCCAGAACCUGAAGCAGGCCCCCAGCAGCGCUUUGUCACUGCAGAACAAGAGCCCGGGUGGAAAUGACCAUAGGCCUGUUGAAAGCACGUCUUCAGUGACUACGUCACCUCAGGGUAACAGCUGAGAGGCCUGUGACAUUAAUGUGGCAUGUGUUGUUCUCCACAAUAUUGCAAUUAUUAGAGAGGAGCAACACCCUGCCCUAAAAUUACAAGACCCUGAGGAAGACUCCUUCCAUCACAGUGAUCUGCAGAGUGGAUGGACAUAUUUGCUUUAAUGUCUUAAUCAACCAUCACCACCACCACCAAUAAAAGAAACUGAAUAGAUGUAAAUCAUAAUUUAUUUGUUUUUUUUUUUCAUUUCCUACAAAUACAAAGGCAAUUGUUAGAUUUUAUGAUUCUUCCAAUAAUUCAUACAAUUCACCUUUAACUAUACACUCAUCUCCAGCUUGUGUUUGGGAAUUUCAAUUUCUAGAUCUGGCUUUUCAAUCUUGUGGUACAAGUAUAACAUUUCCUUGAGAUUUAGUUUAUACAACUCAAUAACCGGUAACUUAAAAUACAGAAGAUUUAGAGUUACAUGACAUCUUGAAAUGACAUGUUCCUCUUUACUCUUACAGAAUUGAACUCUGGCAUUUACUGAACAUCACUGAACUGUGUGCAUCUGUGCAGCAGAAUGUGACUGACCUCCUCCUGCUGUUCUUCCACACUCUGGGGCAGAGGGGAGAUAAUAAAGUCACUAUACUUGGA